AUGGCGACCCCCGACGACUGCGCCGCCAGCUGGCUCCUGUACCUGUCGCUCGCCGCCAAAUGCGGCGGCGACCACCCCGGCCGCCUCGCCGGCCUCCUCGCGGUCUGCGCCGCCGCCUUCGCCCUCACCUGCCUCCUGCACUGGUGCUUCCCCGGCGGCCCGGCCUGGGGCAGGUGGUGGCUCACCCGCCGCCUCAAGGGAUCCCUCCUCCCGGGGCCCAGGGGCCUGCCGCUCAUCGGCAGCAUGUGGCUCAUGACCGGCCUCUCACACCGCAAGCUCGCGGCGGAGGCCUCGCGCCUGGGCGGCCGCGCCAAGAGGCUGAUGGCCUUCUCCCUCGGCGAGACGCGGAUGGUGGUUGCCGCGCACCCUGAUGUGGCCAGGGAGAUCCUCAACAGCCCUGCCUUCGCCGACCGCCCCAUCAAGGAGUCGGCGUACGGGCUCCUGUUCCACCGCGCCAUCGGCUUCGCGCCCCACGGCGCGUACUGGCGCGCGCUCCGCCGCGUCGCCUCCACGCACCUCUUCUCCCCGUGGCAGGUCACCGCGUCAGCUCCCCAGCGCGCGGUCAUCGCGCACCAGAUGGUGGCGGCCCUCGCCAGCGCCGGCGCCGGCGUCGAGGUCCGGCGCGUGCUGCGGCGCGGGUCGCUGCACAACGUGAUGUGGUCCGUGUUCGGCCGCCGCUACGACCUGGACACGAACAAGGAGAGCGAGGAGGUCCGCGAGCUGAGCCAGCUCGUCGACGAGGGCUACGACCUGCUGGGCCAGCUCAACUGGUCCGACCACCUCCCCUGGCUGGCCCGCUUCGACCCGCAGGGCACACGCGCCCGGUGCUCCCGUCUCGUCCCCCGCGUGAACCGCUUCGUCGGCCGCAUCAUCGACGACCACCGCUCCGCCGCUCCCUCCUCCGCCGUCAAGGACUUCACCGACGUCCUGCUCUCCCUCCAGGGCGGCGACAGGCUCGCCGACGCGGACAUGAUCGCGGUGCUCUGGGAGAUGGUGUUCCGCGGGACUGACACAGUGGCGGUGCUGAUGGAGUGGGUGCUGGCGCGGCUGGUGCUGCACCCGGACGUGCAGGCGCAGGUGCACGAGGAGCUGGACCGCGCGGUGGGGCGCGACCGCGCCGUGACCGAGUCCGACGCGGCCUCCCUCCCCUACCUCCACGCCGUCAUCAAGGAGACGCUGCGUGUGCACCCGCCCGGCCCGCUGCUCUCCUGGGCCCGCCUCGCCACCUCGGACAUUCACGUUGACGGGUUCCUCAUCCCCGCUGGCACCACAGCCAUGGUGAACAUGUGGGCCAUCACCCACGACCCCGACGUGUGGGCCGAGCCGGACGAGUUCCGCCCGGAGCGCUUCGCCGCCGGCGAGUUCUCCGUCAUGGGGUCGGACCUCCGCCUGGCGCCGUUCGGGGCCGGGCGGAGGAGCUGCCCGGGGAAGAGCCUGGCGAUGGCGACGGUGGCGUUCUGGCUGGCGACGCUGCUGCACGAGCUGGAGUUCCUCCCCUCCCCCGACCCGGCGCGCGGCGUCCACCUGGGGGAGACCCUGAGGCUGUCGUGCGAGAUGGCGGCCCCGCUGGCGGUGACGCCGAGGCCGCGACGCCCGGCGGCGUGA
rnacentral:rRNA from 1 species